rnacentral:snRNA from 1 species
UAAAAACCGUAUGUAAUUCG